rnacentral:lncRNA from 1 species
GACCGAGGCGACGAUGUCUGAUGAGCUCAAGGCAAGGAUAACGGAUGUCUGCCAUAGAAUUCCUACAUCAGUCAGCAAGAAUGCCACUCAAGGUGUGAUAAAGUGGACUUACUACUGCGUAGCUGCACAAGGGCAUCUAUUCGAACACGUCCUCUAGGCGGCACCUGGUGUUCAACAGCGCUAACGAAUAUACAGAUUAUAAGGGCACUCUGAAAUUUGAUGUUUUUCAUUUUUCUGUUU